rnacentral:lncRNA from 1 species
GUCAGCGUAUAAAAGCAACCCCGCGUCGUUUUCCCUUUCCUCUUCUUAGUUUCACACGAGCGAAGCAAUACACCGGUCUGGAGCAGACGGCUGGUCGGCGGCGUUCUAGCUUCAAGCAGCGCUACUCCGGCGGCCACUAGCUAUUCCACCUUUCUUCCUCCCCUCUCCCAACGAGGUGAUUCACUUAUUCCCCUGUUCUUUUGUGGUGAUUUUCCUUGCCGUUUGCUCUUGUACGUGGAGAUGCACUAGAGCUGAAAUACUCUGUAUCAAAUCUUAGAUCCUUUUGCUUUUAGGUUACAAGAAUAUGGCAUGGAUGUAGAAAUUUUGACGAUAUCCUGAUUGUUUAGAUUGUGCAUGCAAGUUUUUUCUAGAUCUAUAAAUUGAUUGAUAUCCCCAGAUUUUGCGUUUAGAUAUGACGCAUGUAUAAAUCUUUUGCUAAUUGGUUCCGAAGAAUGUGCAAAAUCUGAAGCAGACAACUUUUUCCGACUGCAGAUUCUCCCAGUAGUCCAUGUAAACAAAUUUUCCUAACUGUAUAAACUAUAUAUGCCAGAUCUGAAGUAUUUUUUCCUGAACAAUUUUGACUGGAGUGCAUAGAGGCUCAGGUAGUAUGUGAACUCCAUUUUGUCUCAUGGAUGAGUGACCAUGGAUGGGUUGUAUCUAAGAAUAUAUUAUGUGUGAACUAUGUUGUCCUGAAGCUUUAUAUGAGUCUUGCACUCUUACUUGCAAUGUUAUUACUGAGUUAUGGC